GACGAACGCUGGCGGCGUGCUUAACACAUGCAAGUCGAACGGAAAGGCCUCUUUCGGGGGGUACUCGAGUGGCGAACGGGUGAGUAACACGUGAGUAACCUGCCCUUGACUUUGGGAUAACUUCAGGAAACUGGGGCUAAUACCGGAUAGGAGCUCCUGUUGCAUGGUGGGGGUUGGAAAGUUUCGGCGGUUGGGGAUGGACUCGCGGCUUAUCCGCUUGUUGGUGGGGUAGUGGCUUACCAAGGCUUUGACGGGUAGCCGGCCUGAGAGGGUGACCGGCCACAUUGGGACUGAGAUACGGCCCAGACUCCUACGGGAGGCAGCAGUGGGGAAUAUUGCACAAUGGGUGGAAGCCUGAUGCAGCAACGCCGUGGGCGGGAUGACGGCCUUCGGGUUGUAAACCGCUUUCGCUCAUGACGAAGCUUUGUGUGACGGUAGUGGGUAAAGAAGCACCGGCUAACUACGUG
rnacentral:rRNA from 1 species